AACAAAAGUGAGAGCCGUGGCCGGGGGACGCUGGACCUCGGCGAGCCGGGGUGAUCGAAGGGGAGGAGUCCGGCCGGGGGGGCCCAGCGCCGCUCUAGGGCGGGUCCUUUGCCCCCGCCCGCCCCCGAGGGACGGUGAAUCCCCGGGCGGGUGAGACCUGGCGGCGUGAGCGGCGGCCCCCCCGCGCAGUGUCGCCCCCGAAACGGCCACCGGCGCCCCGGGCGCAGACAGCGGGGCCGCUGCCCGCCGCGGAAGCCCCUGCCUUUCCCCCAAAGCUUCCUGCCCGGCCGGGAUGGGACUCCGGGCUGCUGCUGCCCGACGCCUGCCGUCCUGGUGAACACAAUCGAGCAAGGGCAGUGAAGCAAAAAUCAUUAGGUAAGCAAGAUAAUCUAAGCGGAAUCUGCUGCCUGCGCUCACAUCUGGGGGCAGGUUGCGCAGCUGGGGCGGCUCUUCCUGCCCUGCAGCGCCUUUGUACGUGUGCUCGGGUAUAUACACUCGUUGGGUUGGAGAUGCGCAGCCUUGCGACAGGUUUUAGGAGAUAA
rnacentral:lncRNA from 1 species